rnacentral:lncRNA from 1 species
CUGCUGCCGUGCUAUGCUGAGACUUGGCAACCAGGCUUUCGGCCAGACAGAAUUUGGGUUGGUGCAUCAUGGCAGCCACAGCAAUCCUACCAGAGCAAGACAGCAUGGGCAGUUGAGGGGUGUGAGGUCACUGAAAACGUUAGUCUGUUUUCAAUACUUGCUUACCAUUGCUGAAAAAGUUCAAAUUCAUGCUCAGAGUAGCAAACUCAGCCAGUGGUCUGCUUCCUCCCGCCCUUGCAGACCUCGUUCAGCAUCUGUGCAUGGUAUGCUUGCCUCUGUAUGACAAAGAAAGGACUAGUUUCUCUCACACGCAUCCCCUUCAUUGGCAAGAGGGUUGCAGCAUUCACAGACACUUCUGAGAGAUGAGUUUCUGCACAGGCAGGUGAGUUUGUAGGUUGAAGGUGUAAGAAGCAUAUUUUGCUCUUGACAGGUGGACUUCCUUCUCUGAUAGGAACUCUGGGUUCAGAGAGAGCUGCCUGAGAGAAGUUGAGGUGCAGAAACUUUUUUUUUUUUUCCCAAGGGAUGCUGAAAUAAGUUGUCUAGAAACACAAGGAAAGGCUGGUGGUCAGGGGUGGUGCAGACCUUUGGGACGAGGCUGACAGUUUUGCUUCUAUCUUUGUUUCACCACCUUUGGAGUUGGCAGACAGGGGUGGGGCAGUGGUGGCAGCAGAAGUGGCCAGGCAGGUCAUGGGCAUGAAGCUGUCUGGGCAGUUUUGUCCAUAUUGCACCAUUGGACCAGCAGUGGCAAUAGUCACACCUAGUUCCUGGGCCUAGAGUUGGGUGAAUGGCUUGCUCUUUCUGUAGGUCCCCGGACAUUUGCCAUAAUCUAGAACCACCGCUGGCCAUUUUGGGGGCUAAGAUGUGCACAUGGCUGACCCAGAGAGGACUUCUGGUAAGGCUUGUUUCUGAAAGUCCUGCUGAAUUAGAAGUAAACAUAAGUGGAUCAGAUGCACCCAGGCAAAAUUCCCUUGAGGACACUCCCUGGGACACUGGAUGGGGAGGGGCAGCCUAGACCAGUGACCUGCUUGAUGGUAGUUGGUAGUAACAGGUUUGGGGGAGCCUGACAGCUCUUGGGUGCUCAAGCUGGCUAUGGGCUGUCCUCACUGGGUUCCUCAGUGGGCCAAGUCUGAGAGGCAGUGACAAGUGUGUUGAGGACCUUUCCUUAUGGCAUUCUUUUUUUUUUUUUAAUCCCUCAGUGUUUGAAGGCUGCCAAGGCCAGAAAAUGGUGCACUGUCCUGGGUUCCCCUUUGGCUCUAGGUGAGCAGGCUGUUUCGGGAAAGGGGUGCCCUGUAAACAGGGCUUAUUUUCUAGCAACUUAUGUUUCUGGACCAGGGCCUGUCAGCAUCAGAGAAGGCCAGCCAUUCAGCAUUCUGUUUAGAAAAUGAUGAUCCAGUUGGGGGAGAAAGCAAGCUCAGGAUGAAACGUGUUUCCUGGCUGGGAAUUGGGCAAGUGUUCUAAGCCAGGAGCAGUGACUCUGGAGAUGAGAACUGUUCUGGUCUUCUCCACCUAAGUGCCCUUAGAGUGAUUUUAUUUUUUAUAUUUCACUGUAUAUUGUAGUGCAAAUAGUUUUUAUGUUUUCUUUGACAGAGAAUUAUAAUUGAGUCACUUUAGGUCUUUUAGCUGGAAGGUUUUUUUUUCCUCCCCAAAUGAGAAGGUAAUUUUUUUUUUAAAAGGAUUAACACGUCAUCUGCCCUUUCAGUAGAUGACAAUUGUAGAUUCUGAUAAGUUUGGAUUUUUUGUUUUGUUUUGUUUUGUGCAUAAAGAAGCAGAUCCUUUCACUGUGAAGGUGGCUGCUCAAACUCUAGCACCUGUUUCCAGAGCAAAGCUGUCUAAGUAGGCUCUGGGUGGGCAGCAAAAUUCUCCGCAUGGUGAGUGGCCUACAGCUUCAAAAGCAAAUUUAAUCAGAUUCCAAUACUGUGAUUUGAAGGAAAUGGCGAAACUUGAAGUGACGGUAAUGCCAUCAAGGCUCAACUACACUUCAUUCCCUCCACAGCUAAAGACAAAAUUAAUUAUUUUUAGGGCAAGUCCCUUUCAUUCUGCAGUGAUACCUACUGUUUUUCAGCUUGGCUUGGGAGAUGGGGGAGAGGGGUUUAAAAACCCAUUUGAUGCAAACUGAAAUCUUCUUUGUUGGCAAUCUUCCAGCUCUGGUUUGGCUAGAGCAGGACUCUGAGGCUUGCAGGCUGCAGCCUGGUGUCUCCCUGCUGCCCAGCCUGGCUAUGUGGGCAGCACUCACUGGCAUCAUGAAAUGCUGUCUGUGACUAGGCCAGCUAUAGGGAAUCCUUCAAGGGCAGGUAUAAACCAUGUGUAUAUGUAUUCUCAAAUUUAAAUAGAUUGUACAUAUCAGAAUGUAAAUGACCUGUAAAACAGCACUCUAUUUUUCUUGGUUAUUACAUAGC